CCGCUGCGGUAACACCGGCAGCUCUAGUGGUAGCUGUUUUAUUGGGCCUAAAGCGUUCGUAGCCGGUUUAAUAAGUCUCUGGUGAAAUCCUAUAGCUUAACUGUGGGAAUUGCUGGAGAUACUAUUAGGCUUGAGAUCGGGAGAGGUCAGAGGUACUCCUGGGGUAGGGGUGAAAUCCUGUAAUCCUAGGAGGACCACCUGUGGCGAAGGCGUCUGACUAGAACGAAUCUGACGGUGAGGAACGAAAGCUAGGGGCGCGAACCGGAUUAGAUACCCGGGUAGUCCUAGCCGUAAACUAUGCGGACUUGGUGUGAGGGUGGCUUUGAGCCGUCCUGGUGCCGAAGGGAAGCUGUUAAGUCCGCCGCCUGGGAAGUACGGUCGCAAGACUGAACUUAAAGGAAUUGGCGGGGGAGCACCACAACGCGUGGAGCCUGCGGUUUAAUUGGAUUCAACGCCGGAGAUCUCACCAGCGGCGACAGCAGUAUGAUGACCAGGUUGAUGACUUUGUUUGACAAGCUGAGAGGAGGUGCAUGG
rnacentral:rRNA from 1 species